rnacentral:misc_RNA from 1 species
AAAAUGUGAUACUUGGUGUGAAUUGCAGAAUCCCGUGAACCAUCGAGUUUUUGAACGCAAGUUGCGCCCGAAGCCAUCCGGCUGAGGGCACGCCUGCCUGGGCGUCACGCAUCGCGUCGCUCCCCACCAUACCUCCCCAACGGGUUGGCAUGGUGUUGGGGGCGGAUAAUGGCCUCCCGUGCUUGUGUUUCGGUUGGCCUAAAUAAGAGUUCCCUUCGGCGGACACACGACUAGUGGUGGUUGAAUAGACCCUCGUCUUUUGUUGCGUGUCGUGAGCUGUAAGGGUAGCCCUCAUCAAAGACCCCAUUGUAUCGUCUUCGGAUGAUGCUUCGACCGCGACCCCAGGUCAGGCGGGACUACCCGCUGAGUUUAAGC